AUUGAACGCUGGCGGCAGGCCUAACACAUGCAAGUCGAACGAGUGGCGGACGGGUGAGUAAUGUAUGGGAAACUGCCUGAUGGAGGGGGAUAACUACUGGAAACGGUAGCUAAUACCGCAUACUAUAGUAUGGGCCCAGAUGGGAUUAGCUAGUUGGUGGGGUACAGGCUCACCAAGGCUACGAUCCCUAGCUGGUCUGAGAGGAUGAACAGCCACACUGGAACUGAGACACGGUCCAGACUCCUACGGGAGGCAGCAGUGGGGAAUAUUGGACAAUGGGCGCAAGCCUGAUGCAGCCAUGCCGCGUGUAUGAAGAAGGCCUUCGGGUUGUAAAGUACUUUCAGCGGGGAGGCGUUACCCGCAGAAGAAGCACCGGCUAACUCCGUGCCAGCAGCCGCGGUAAUUC
rnacentral:rRNA from 1 species